ACUUCGGCUGGCCUAACCAAGAGAUCUGCAUCUGAGGACUAAAAGAGGAUGCUAUUAUUAAUUUUGUGGCAGCAGAUGAUGAAUUUAGCUAAUGAGCUCCAUGCUAAGAAAGCCAAGGUUUUCAAGGAAGUAACCUGCAUUAUCUUCUGGGCAAGUCCCUGAGAAGAAACAGACCUGUCCAAUGAAAAUGCACACUCAGACGAAAAUUAGCACUUGGUUCUGAAGAAUACCUAAGGACACAUAAUUAAACUAAAAAUAAAUGGUCACCUUUGGAGAGAGAGGGACUGAGAAGUUAAGGUUUUGCUUCGCAAAUUCUUGGGAUACUUUAAAGCAAGAGAGUGUAUUACCUAAAGGUGUGUAUAUAUGUAUAGUCUUUCCUGUAUUCUUCCUGUGCUUUUAAACAUCAAUGUUAAAAAAAAAAUUGAAGUUUAGCUCAAAAGGAUUAUUGAGUUUUCUUAUAAAAUGUUCAAGCCAAAGCAGGAUUUCUAAGAUGGUGGAGUAAGGAGGCUGGCAUACCCUUUUUCCAGCAAAACAACAUUUUAACUGGUAAAAAUUAUAAAAUAUAAUUUAGUCUCUGCAAAUUGUCUAAAGGGCAUAUAGCAAACGGAGAAAAAUUUAUUCAAGAAAAUUUGGCCAGGUGUGGUGGCUCACACCUGUAAUCCCAGCACUUUGGGAGGCCGAGGUGGUUGGAUGACGAGGUCAGGAGUUUUUCAAGACCAACCUGCCAACAUGGUGAAACCCCAUCUCUACAAAAAAAUUAGCUGGGUAUGGUGGCACAUGCUUAUAAUCUCAGCUACUCUGGAGGCUGAGGCAGAAGAAUCACUUGAACCUGGGAGGCAGAGGUUGCAGUGAGAUGAGAUGGCGCCACUGUACUCCAGCCUGGGCAACAGAGGAGACUCUGUCUCAAAAAACAAACAAACAAACUAACAUAUUUUGGUUAAGAACACAGAAGUUUGUAGCAUUUGAUCUACAACCUGUUCCCUUCCCUUGUUUCCUCCUCCCUGCCACUACAGCUCUGUAUUUUAGAAACUCUAUCUAGUCCAGGCAGGUGGCCAAGAAGAUGGGGGUUCCCUCUCUCUCUCUAGUUCUCAGCCUAACCUGAAAGAAAGAAGCAUACCAUUUCUCAUCACCUCCCAGCCCUGUGUUGUGUAAAUUCUAUUCUGAACAGCAACCAAGAAAAACGAAGCUCCUGUUAUCCCACCUAGCCUCCAUUCCUAGGGUAAAACAUACCCUGGGCACAGCCGGCUGAGAACACUGGGGCCCUGAAUGCCCCACCUCAAACUCCCUGUUGAGAGAUUCCAUGCCUAGGGCAAGCUGAGAACCAGGAGUUAUCCACCCUCUCCCCUGCUCAAAGAGCCAGAGGUGUUGUUCUGGGAGAAGAAGGAUGCUGUCCCAUCCCAUCCUAUUCUGCCCUCCUCCUCAUUUCAGUGGCAUAAAAGUUCAAGUUCUGCCUGGUAGCUGAGGCGGACUAUAAAGAAGAAACUCUCCAGCUGGAGAGAGGAGUGAGGAGGAAAAGUGGUGGUGAUGACUUUAUUUGGAAUGAAAUGUAGAAAAUUCCUUUCUUAAGGGUAUUGACAACAGAGAUCUUGAAGGAGUGCAAAUGAGAGGGUGCUGGUAGUUCUUUGACACUAGCAGCAACAAAUGACAGAGCAAAGCAGCCGGAAGUUCAACAGAGAAAACCAGAGAAAGAGACAGCCAAGAGGAACCGCCUGGAGUCACAGUCAAUCCUGGGAGUUGGACAUGUUAACUAUUUGACUGUAGUAAUCAUUUUACAACAUAAAUGUUUAUCGAAACAUCAUAUAUACACCUUAAAUAUAUAUUAUUUUUUAAAAGGAAGGAAAAAAGCUUAAAAAGCAAAGUGAUUCUUCAUUUCAGUAGCUCCGUUCGAUUCAUCUGAAUACAGCCUCCAAAUCCUCCACUGUGCAUAUGUAUCUAUAUCUAUAUCUAUAUCUCAGCACUGAAAGAAUGCUUUAUCACCAAUCUUUGAUGGUUAUUAAUAGGUUGUUGAGCUAACUUGGCAUUUCCUAUGUUUCUUCUUAUAUGAAAGAUAACAUUUUAUUGUUAUUGAUCUGCUUAAGUAAUUGCUGUGCUUAAAGUUUCUUUUGUUUAUAGGUUUCAAAUUUUGUGAACUUAUCUGUUUAUCCAUUAAGCAUAUUUGGAACAGGUUAAAAAAUAAAAUUUAAAAAGUCCUGGGAGUUGGGAAA